AAAAAUAAUAAUGUCGUUUACAAGCAGCUCUUCCUAUGUCUAAGGAAGAACUAGUCACACAUGCGAGUUUUUGCUGGCUUCGGAAGAACAAGCAAGGAAAAAGACAAAUCCCACCUACCCUACCCUAAAAUACACAAGGAGUAGCAGAACCCCGCGGAAGCUGUGGCCCAUUCCAAAAGGCACUGGCAAUAUUGAAGAAGACUUAUAUCCACAAAAAUCCACAUGAUUACAUGAUCAAGUCAUAACUAGGAAUUUGGAUCUAACUGAGCUGGCACAAUCCCUGGAGGUGACCUUGGGAUGUAAACAGGCAAAACUCAAAGCAAUGUGUUCUGAUCAAGAAACAGCUGGAAAUGGCAGCAACCUGAUAUGGAACAAUCAAGAACCGAAGGUUUAUUUUGAAUGAGAGGUGUCGUCCAACUGCGAGACUGAGUGAUUGCAGCUGGGAAUAAGUGGAAACACAAUCAAUAGUGACUCCAGUGAAGCAGGAAAGAAAUCCAUUCCCAAGUGUGGAUAAGCUGCUUUGCUCUCCUGCACGUCACCUGGGAAUGUGGAUCUUGUCCUAACAGACCCUACUUAGCAAAAGGUUCAGUGAUAAUGUGCCCUCCUCUCCUUUUCACGAUGGCCCUAUUCAUAAUCCUUCAGACUUCUGAAGAGGAUCCAAGGGGGACACACCAGCCUGCAGUGUCCUUGCCAUGAUAACAGACCUGUGAAGCUAAAUGAAGCUGGAGGCUAUCACUACUGUCCUGAUCUAGAGACGCUGGACUCCUCCCCAGGGAACUAUUUAAAAAACACUUUUAGGAAUGCUCUACCCCUAUGUCUGACUACUCAUCUUUCAAAAUUGAAUUCAAUGCUUCUCUUAAAUUAUUAACGUCAGGGCUAGCAGUCCAAUAAGAAAGUUUCCAGCUAUGGUGUAUUUUUCUCACUGCUUCAUACCUGGAACAAAAGGUGUUCAUUACAGCUCCUGAAAGACAUGCAGCAUAUCAUGGGAGUACAAAUGAUCAUGUUACAUAUAUUAGCUUUGCCCCAGCCAAGUCAGAGCUUCAAGCAUGUCCAUCUCCCAGAUGACUUUUAUGUGUGGUCAAACCUCUUCAAUUAUUAAAGACAAGACGGGAUGGCUUAAGAUUACAUUUAAACUCCUCAAAUGUUUAUGAUACAAUUUUAAAAUAACGUAUGGAAGAAAAUAAAGAGAAUUUUCCUCAAACAUGUUCUCUAGAACUGCAGUCCCCGACCCCUGAGCCAUGGACUAGUACCUCUCAGGAACCAGGCUGCACAGCAGGAGGUGAGUGGGGGAAGUGAGCAAAGCUUCAUCUGUAUUUACAGCCACU